GGGUCUUAACGAUUACAGAUAAACCAAAAUCAGUAUAGGGCACAUGUUUAUCCCAGCUGAUAUGGCCAGGGCGUACGCAGUUCGCAGAAUAGCUUGCCUGAUUGAGUUUUGCUGAGGGUAACACAACAAAUCACAUUUUCUUUCUCCAAAGAGGGAAAGUUAGAGCAUCAUUCAUCAACUCGUAUGCAAACUGUGUUGUCAAGUGAACCCACAGCUCAUUUGGUUGAAUAUGGUUGUGGAGUCAGUCCUCCAACAGAGCGUGGGUUCAAAGAGGAAGGGCUAAAUUGGACAGAAACUGCGGACGAGAUUUGAUAUGUCGCACAGGUCCAAAGCAUCUGUAUUCGUCAUUUCAGUACUCGUAAGAAGCAAACCUGUCUUCAAGGAAGUCUGCCGAGUGAAGACUAUGGACUGAACUGUAAAAUUUAAUUCUCUUAAGGUGCCAGAGCUGCAAAACUAGUGCAUUAAGAUAACUUUGCCCCAACUAGAAUUCAGGUUGUCUGAGAAUCCAGAGCAACGGUCGAGAGAGUUUACUUUAUCACAGAUCAAAAGCAUGUAAUCUUGUCAGGCACAAGAAACGUAAAGCUACCAUUAGACAUUCUUAGUAUGCCACUAUACCAUGAAACAAAUGUCGCAACUAACUUCAAUUCAUCGACAGCAAAUAGAGCCUCGAGACCUUACCAAUAUCCAGUAGAGGAAUCUUCAACUGACCUCCAUUGGCAGCGGCAAAAAGAGCCCAGCACAAUGGUUUUUCAAUCCACUCUGCCAGGCUCGAGUUCAAUCAAACCGGAAGCUUUCCUUCAUCGCCAUUUUCAACCACAGACAAUUGCAGUUUGCACACGCUUUUAUUCCUUACUCAUCACAAGCAUGCCCAGGUCAUAUCCCGCAAGCAUAGGACACGUGGCAGAACCAAGACUGAUCUCGUGGGAAGCAACUGUUUCACUAAAAACAGCUAAGAGCAUAUCAAACCAAUGGGCAUAUCUGCCUUUGUCUCAACCCACCACGAGCUGCCUCGCCAAAAGCUUGGGAAAUAUUUGCCUACUGUUGGAAUCCUGUGAAACACAGGUGGGAUUUCCACAGGACCUACAGGAUCAUCAGCAGUUGGUGACAGAUCCAGUCCAUAUAUGACUUGGGGUCCAUGUGAUAAUUUUCAAUUCCCAGACCCAUUUGAGCUCCCACCUUCCCCGAGCCCCAAGAGAUCCCGAUAACACAUCUUCCGGUUGUUCUGUUUUAGACUCUACAACAGCUGAAAAAAAGAACAGAGCUGCUCUGCAAUUGUUCAACACAUACAGGGAGGUGUGGAAUAGAGUCACGAGAGUGUGAUGGAAAAAUGUAACGCAGAAAAGCAUAAUCAUGGUUGAAAGAGUUCGAUAGAAUCUGCACAUGCUGAGGUAUUUGCAAAAGCUUCUGCAAAAGAAAUACAAAGCUCUCUUUUUGAAUGAACCAUAAGUCCAUGAAUCCAGGGAACAAUGCACAAUGAACAAAUUCUCGCAUUGAAACCCGAAUGCUCAUAUUAUGAAUAAUUACAAACAGCAAACAUUUUAUAACCAUAUGGGAGGCACAGAAACCAAAACAACGGUACGGCACGUGUUUUGCGCUGCUGAUAUGGCAAGGGCGCAUGUUGCUCACACUGUAGCUUGCCUGAUCGAGUUUUGCUAAGUGCUACACAGCAACUUGACAUUUUUCCUUUUCUCCAAAGAGAGAAACCGGUAUGCAUUAUUAGUUAACUUGUAUGCACACUACAUUGUCAAGUGCAGCCACAGCCCAGUCAGUUGAAUGAGGAGUCAGUCCUCCGACAGAGCGUGGAUUUAAAGAGGAAGAACUAAGUUGGACAGAACUGAGAACGAAAUUGAUAGGUAGCACAAGUCCAAAGCAUCUGUAUGUGACAUUUCAGUACUCAUACAUUAGUUGCGCACCUCAUGCAGAGAACACCUCAUAAGAAGCAAACCUAUUUUAGAAGGAGUCUGCAUUAUUAAGACUAUGGGCCGAACUGUAAAAUUUAAUUCUCUUAAGGUGCCAGAGCUGCAAAACUAGUGCAAUGAGAUAACUUUGCCCCAACUAGAAUUCAGGCUGUCUAAGAAUCCAGAGCAACGGUUGAGAGAGUUUACAUUGUCACA
rnacentral:lncRNA from 1 species